UGUUUAGAUUAGAAAUCAUGUAAAAUUCACACUGAAUUUCCAUUAGUGUUUAUUAGGAAUAACAUGGCAGGAAAACAGUCAGCGUGGGUAGCAGAAGAGGUGCGCUUAUGAUCAGUGGAGGUGUUUGAGAUGAUACAUCCUACACUGAUUAGGCCUUUUAAAUCUAGAUAGUAGAUAGACAGUAGAUAACACUUUUUUUCUUUUUUUUUUUUUUUUUACUAUCACCUGACUGCUGGUGUGAUCAUCAGGACUAUUCAUGUCACUCUUUGAUCAUAAACUGCUGCUUUCUGAGCAGGAUGACCUGGCAACCUGUAAGCUGAAAUAUGUGACUAUCUCUCCUCAGUAUGUUUGCUCAGUGUGGAAACAAAACUGCACCAAACUACAUGGAAAGAUUUACUGAUUUUGGGUUAUUAAACAGCAACGUUAUCUUAUGGUUAAAAACAAGAUUUGAGACACCAUGCAAAUGACUGGGCCAUACAUCAAUUCGGCAUUAACAUAAUGCACAAAGCAUCAAUGAACCUAUUCAUAUUUAAACUUAACAUUUGAUCAGUAUUGUAACUACAAUAGUAAAAACCACUGUGUGUAAAUCUAAUUUUGUUUGUCUGAUUAAGUAAAGCUACAUGCCGAAUUGUACAGACGACUUUAAAGAUUCUUUUUUUUUUUUUUUUUUGCCUAAUAUUAUGUUUUUACCCCUUUUGGGAUUUUAAAGUUGACAAGGUAGCUUUAAAUUGCCCAACUGUUGAAUGGAGUUUGGUUUGCCUGCAGAGAAAGCACCAAUUGAGGGCUACUGAUGGCAAGAACAUUAAGCCAUGCUGCCCCAUGGCGGAUGGGCGACUGAAUGAUGGCUGUAAUUUAACAUUAACGUCUAACAGGAGAGAUGCUGGAAACAAACGUCUGGAAUCCAGGAGCUACUCCGAACCCGAGCUGAUCAAUGAAAGACGGCUCGUCCUGACUGUGGAUCUGAACUUUGACCCCGGCUUCAAACGAUGUUUCAUCUGCAAGAUGAAUAGAAUAGUGUGGGAUCAGUGCAACACGCAGUAAAAGGCAGGUAUUCAUCCUGCUGAAUGUCCAGCAUGAGCUCCAGUCCAUUACCCAUACCUCCCUUGGUGGUGAUGAGGGGAGGACGUCCAUCACCCCCUGCGUUAAAGAGAGGGUGUGAGAGAAAAAGGAGCAUGUGUGCCAGAAGGAGGAAGAGGACAAGGAGAGUGGAGGAGAAAAAUAAAGAAAGAAUUCCUUCUUUCGGGUUUGGGAGUCACACAGUCAACGCAGUGAGGUGAUGGAGACUGGCAGACUGGUGAUUUAACAUUCCCUCACAUGCUCUUUAUGGCACUUAUAAUGGACCUGAUGUUACCAUGGAGACCAAGCAUCCCAGUCAGGAAGAUUGCCGCCUUAAUUUUUAAAGGAAAGGACAUAGAUGUUAGUUUUAAGCUGUGUGAGAUAUCAGCAAAUGCCCAUGUGACAUGUUUAGACAGCCAUGACUGCAUGAUAGUAAAUAGACAGAAAUGUAUCAAUGCUGAGCUUUCUUCGGCGAAGAGUUAAUCUUGCAUUAGAGUGUUUAGUGUUGUAUGAGUCACAUAAUCCAUGCAGGGAGAGUGAGUGAGAGAGCGGGAGAGCAGAGAGCAACGGAGAGCAGGGACGCAAAGUGAAAGAGACAGAGAGGGGGGGUGAGUUUAGCUGCUACCGCUUGGAGCAGGCUAUUGUUCAGCGUUAUGGCCCAGAAUGACAUAUCUAUGAUUAGAAAGAACAAACCAACCAAGGAAUUGUUGAUAAAGAGUUUGGAUCCUGCCAAGGGCAGUUUAAACAUUUCGGCCAUCUAUCAGCGAGCGACUGCUGGUUUCAGAAGAAGACAUCAAUCUGAGUGGGGAAAAAAACUUUCAGUUCUAUCAAGGCAGGCAAACGAAAGGAACGGCAAGCUACAAACAACAUGUGUGCACACAUUUAGACUCAUACUGACACACAUGAAGGGGAUGUUUCACUGAAAGGAAAUGUUUGUUUCAAGUGAAAAAUCUGCUUCAAUCUACCCAGUCUUCCUAUUCUUAUCUAGUUUUGUCAGCCUGCUGCAGGUGGCACAUUCAUUCACACUUAUUGAUCAGUCUUACAGACGCCUCAGACAUCUGUAAGAGGUAACCCAGCUGUCAGAGAGGUUCUGCCCUUUCUUUACAAAUGAGAGCAUAAAUGUGUCAGAUCACACAGUGGCUGCACUUACUGUACUUUAUAAAUAAUUCAAUCAUUGCCUAAGUGUUAAAUCCAUGUGUAUGAUGGGCGCAUGAUGUUCACCAGCAUCCUGAUUGAUACACAGACAUGAGGUAAUGUCAGGUAAGACUUGCCCUCUACUUUUUGAUGAAUAGUUGUGAAUGUUGUGACAGAGGUGGUGAGAGUAAAAAACAUCAGACAUGUAUAAUGCACAAUGUCCUCACAGUGUGCAAACGGCGUGUGCUUGUUCUGCUUGUUAUGAUGAAUGAAUAAAUGAUUGCGCACACAUGAAAGAGGUUUUCUGCAGCAGGAAUCAUAUGGAACAUGAUGAGAGAUAAGUGUUACAUCAAAGAGGAAUACAUGUGUACUUUCCAGAGAAAUUCUAACUUGUGAAAG